rnacentral:rRNA from 1 species
UACGGGGGGGGUAAGCGUUGUUCGGAAUUACUGGGCGUAAAGGGCUCGUAGGCGGCCAACUAAGUCAGACGUGAAAUCCCUCAGCUUAACUGGGGAACUGCGUCUGAUACUGGAUGGCUUGGAUUCGGGAGAGGAAUGCGGAAUUCCAGGUGUAGCGGUGAAAUGCGUAGAUAUCAAGAGGAACACCUGAGGUGAAGACGGGUUGCUGGGCUGACACUGACGCUGAGGCGCGAAAGCUAGGGGAGCAAACGGG